AUUGAACGCUGGCGGCAUGCCUUACACAUGCAAGUCGAACGGUAACAGGUCUUCGGAUGCUGACGAGUGGCGAACGGGUGAGUAAUGCAUCGGAACGUGCCCAGUUGUGGGGGAUAACUGCUCGAAAGAGCAGCUAAUACCGCAUACGACCUGAGGGUGAAAGCGGGGGAUCGCAAGACCUCGCGCAAUUGGAACGGCCGAUGUCAGAUUAGGUAGUUGGUGGGGUAAAAGCCUACCAAGGCGACGAUCAGUAGCUGGUCUGAGAGGACGACCAGCCACACUGGGACUGAGACACGGCCCAGACUCCUACGGGAGGCAGCAGUGGGGAAUUUUGGACAAUGGGGGCACCCUGAUCCAGCGAUGCCGCGUGGGUGAAGAAGGCCUUCGGGUUGUAAAGCCCUUUAGGUUGGGAAGAAGUUUAUGGGGGGAAUAUCCCCAUAGAUUGACGGUACCGACAAAAUAAGCACCGGCAAACUCUGUGCCAGCCGCCGCUGUAAGAC
rnacentral:rRNA from 1 species